CACUCGUCGAGGGAAGAAAUAAAACCUUUCCGAACCAAAAAUUCUACUCACUCGUCGCGACACAACAGACCAUGGACGGUUAUGCGCUGACAGAAGAUGAGCUGUUUUCCUCCUGCCUCCUGAACCUCACCUGGGAGAAUUCUUAUGAGCAGCAUAAACCUGCUCUCCGCCACCAGCAAAAUUAGAUGAUUGAGGGUGAACAUGCAACACAUCAGCUUUAAUUGUCUGGAGCCUGGUGGUGUUGUAGCCAUGGAGCUUUCACUCAGAUGGAACCAGGUUACAGCUGCUGUGCAACGUUGACGUCCUUCCUCCCAGACAUGUGAAUGCAUCCCACUGGACACAACCCGGCAAACAUAUUUUUGAGAAAAUCAGGACUUUUGCAAUGAAAAGGCCAUGGACAUUAUAUGUCCUGAUCCAAAGGGCAGAAUAGAAAUAUGCUCCCAGGCUAGAUUCCUUUGUUCAUAUCAUAACAUGACCUGAACCAAAGUUAUUCUAAGGAUCUUGUGAUAUAGGCCUAGGUCAAUAUAUUGUUUUUACCUAAGCCUUUGUGUUUGUGUGUUUUUAAGUUUUUCGUAAUUGCAGGCUACUACCUUUAGCACUUGCAGUUAAUCAAGUAUUUUUGAAAUAUUGUCUUUGUUUUUUAAGCACUACCUCACUGCUUUAGCACAUUGCCAUGGUCACCUGUUCCAAUGUGAAUUUUUUAAGAGACGGGUAGGUCUAAGCCGUUAGAGUGUGUGAACGAUGCUAAAUGGGCAUAAACAAAGAACAGCACUGUAGCUGUUCAAUGUGAAAGGUUAUUUUUAUUAUACAGCAAUAAGCAAUGUAAUACUGUACAUGGUUUGCCUAAUGGGGUAACUUGGUAUUAGUAUUCCUAUAGAAAAGUAUUCCUUUUCUAAAUAUAUGUUUCCCAAGUAUUAAUGUAGAGGAUGUGUGAAAAUCACAGCAAAAUGUUUGAAUGCCCUUUUCUCCCAAAUGGGAUUUGAAGUUUAGCAAUUUUUAAAGCAGCAUUACUUACCCACGUUUCCUCCAACUGCAGUGUAUGAUAUACCAUUUUGAAGCAUCUGUACUUUUAUCCAAUGUAAAAAAUUCAUUAAAUGUUGAACAUAAGACUGAAAAGAGAUGGUGGGUCACACAUGACUUAAAUGUAAUGUUAUUAUGGGUUUUUGGAGUAUGAGAGUAGAAGAAUGCCGCUGUGUGAAGCAAUUGUACAUUCUCAGAAACCCCAACAAUUCACAAAGCAAAUACAUAAAAUUCAUAUCAAACGACAGUCGUUAAAGGCAUCAUUCAGUUGAAUCAGCUUGUCUCCCUUUAAUUGUGUUAUAUUGAGGGACAUUUAGAGUGGUGUUGAAGUGCUGUAAAUUGAGGCAUCGAUUUUCCUGUUUCUUUGAGCUGGGAAUAAGAUCAUUUGAAGAGUUUUCUUAUCGGCCCAGGUCAGACGUUGGCGUUUAUACACUGAAAAAGUCAACUUUGGCCAGUUUUCAAGUCUUUUUCACAGUCAAAGCCAUUCACCAUAAACGUUUACAGCGGAACAUAUGUGUAUGGAGAAGCCACCUACCAGCCUGCCAAGAAUUCUCUAAAUGAAUAUGCAUUUAAUGAAUAUACUUUACAUAUAAAACUGCUACUAAUCCCAAUUAUCCCAUGCAUAUUGUAAAGCAGCUUGUCUUUGAG
ensembl:lncRNA